AUGAAGGAUACGGGAGAGAGUCGAAAGACCGCCGAAGGUAUAAGUUGUUACUAUGCCAGUAACAAUAAAGAUCUCAGGCAAAAGGACCGUAUCUAGACA
rnacentral:ncRNA from 2 species